GGUUGUGGCUCAGUGGUAGAGUGCUUGUCUAACAUGUGUAAGGCACUGGGUUCAAUUCUCAGCACCA
rnacentral:tRNA from 1 species